rnacentral:tRNA from 1 species
GACAUGUAGCUCAACGGCAGAGCGCACGGCUGUUAACCGUGAUGUUGUAGGUUCGAAACCUACCUUGUCC